rnacentral:tRNA from 5 species
GCGAGAGUGGCGGAACUGGCAGACGCGCGAGACUUAGGAUCUCGUGGGUGACCGUGGGGGUUCAAGUCCCCCCUCUCGCACCA